AUCCAGGCAGUGAGCACAAACGAACUAUUUUUUCGCCCUUUAUUAAAGAAUACCGUGUGUGCAUUGCAAUUAAUGGUAUACGCUUAUUUUUGGAGGGGUUACACUUUAUCGG
rfam:Solanum tuberosum cultivar DM 1-3 516 R44 scf00052_125, whole genome shotgun sequence.